rnacentral:rRNA from 1 species
AGGAGAGUUUGAUCCUGGCUCAGGACGAACGCUGGCGGCGUGCCUAACACAUGCAAGUCGAGCGGGGAUAUACUGGAUGAGAGCUUCGGCAGGAUUCCGGUAUAUUCUAGCGGCGGACGGGUGAGUAACGCGUGAGCAACCUGUCCCUUACAGGGGGAUAACACAGCGAAAGUUGUACUAAUACCGCAUAAGACCACAGGAUGACAUCAUCCAGGGGUCAAAGGAGCAAUCCGGUAAGGGGUGGGCUCGCGUCCGAUUAGAUAGUUGGUGAGGUAACGGCCCACCAAGUCGACGAUCGGUAGCCGACCUGAGAGGGUGAUCGGCCACAUUGGGACUGAGACACGGCCCAAACUCCUACGGGAGGCAGCAGUGGGGAAUAUUGGGCAAUGGGGGAAACCCUGACCCAGCAACGCCGCGUGAGGGAAGAAGGUUUUCGGAUCGUAAACCUCUGUCCUUGGUGAAGAGGAAGAGACGGUAGCCAAGGAGGAAGCCCCGGCUAACUACGUGCCAGCAGCCGCGGUAAUACGUAGGGGGCGAGCGUUGUCCGGAAUGAUUGGGCGUAAAGGGCGCGUAGGCGGCCCGGUAAGUCUGGAGUGAAAGUCCUGCUUUUAAGGUGGGAAUUGCUUUGGAUACUGUCGGGCUUGAGUGCAGGAGAGGUAAGUGGAAUUCCUAGUGUAGCGGUGAAAUGCGUAGAGAUUGGGAGGAACACCAGUGGCGAAGGCGACUUACUGGACUGUAACUGACGCUGAGGCGCGAAAGUGUGGGGAGCAAACAGGAUUAGAUACCCUGGUAGUCCCCU